UUUAAAGAGAGUUUGAUCCUGGCUCAGGACGAACGCUGGCGGCGUGCCUAAUACAUGCAAGUCGAACGAACGGAGGAAGAGCUUGCUCUUCCAAAGUUAGUGGCGGACGGGUGAGUAACACGUGGGCAACCUGCCUGUAAGUUGGGGAUAACUCCGGGAAACCGGGGCUAAUACCGAAUGAUAAAGUUUGGCGCAUGCCAUGCUUUUGAAAGAUGGUUUCGGCUAUCGCUUACAGAUGGGCCCGCGGUGCAUUAGCUAGUUGGUAGGGUAAUGGCCUA
rnacentral:rRNA from 1 species